GAGUUUGAUCAUGGCUCAGAUUGAACGCUGGCGGCAUGCCUUACACAUGCAAGUCGAACGGCAGCACGGGAGCUUGCUCCUGGUGGCGAGUGGCGAACGGGUGAGUAAUGCAUCGGAACGUAUCCUGGAGUGGGGGAUAACGUAGCGAAAGUUACGCUAAUACCGCAUAUUCUGUGAGCAGGAAAGCGGGGGACCUUCGGGCCUCGCGCCCUUGGAGCGGCCGAUGUCGGAUUAGCUAGUUGGUGAGGUAAAGGCUCACCAAGGCGACGAUCCGUAGCAGGUCUGAGAGGAUGAUCUGCCACACUGGAACUGAGACACGGUCCAGACUCCUACGGGAGGCAGCAGUGGGGAAUUUUGGACAAUGGGGGCAACCCUGAUCCAGCCAUGCCGCGUGAGUGAAGAAGGCC
rnacentral:rRNA from 1 species